rnacentral:rRNA from 1 species
UACGGAGGGUGCGAGCGUUAAUCGGAAGUUACUGGGCGUAAAGACGCAUGCAGGCGGCCGUGUUAAGUCAGAUGUGAAAGACCCGGGGCGUUAACCUCGGAAAUUGCAUUUGUAAACUAGGCAGGCUAGAGUCUUGUAGAGGGGGGUAGGAAGUUUCUAGGUGUAGCGGUGAAAUAGCGUAGAGAUCUGAAGGAAUACCAGUGGCGAAGGCGGCCCCCCUCGGACAAAGACUGACGCUCAGAUGCGAAAGCGUGGGGAGCAAACAGGAUUAGAUACCCCUGGUAG